rnacentral:rRNA from 1 species
AUUGAACGCUGGCGGCAGGCCUAACACAUGCAAGUCGAGCGGAGAGGCGGACGGGUGAGUAAAGCCUAGGAAUCUGCCUGGCAGCGGGGGAUAACGUCCGGGAACGGGCGCUAAUACCGCAUACUUUCAGAUGAGCCUAGGUCGGUUUGGCUAGUUGGUGGGGUAAAGGCCUACCAAGGCGACGAUCCGUAAAUGGUCUGAGAGGAUGAUCAGUCACACUGGAGCGGAGACGCGGUCCAGGCGCCUACGUGAGGCAGCAGUGGGGAAUAUUGGGCAAUGGGCGAAAGCCUGAUCCAACCAGGCCGCGUGUGUUAAGAAGGUCUUCUGAUUGUAAUGCACGUUAAGUUGGGAGGCGUUACCUGCAGAAUAAGCACCGGCUAACUUCGUGCCAGCAGCCGCGGUAAUAC